rnacentral:rRNA from 1 species
ACGGGAGGGCAGCAGUGGGGAAUCUUGCGCAAUGGGCGAAAGCCUGACGCAGCGACGCCGCGUGCGGGAUGACGGCCUUCGGGUUGUAAACCGCUUUCAGCAGGGACGAGGCCGCAAGGUGACGGUACCUGCAGAAGAAGCCCCGGCUAACUACGUGCC